rnacentral:rRNA from 1 species
AGUGAACGCUGGCGGUAGGCCUAUCACAUGCAAGUCGAACGGCAGCACAGUAAGAGCUUGCUCUUACGGGUGGCGAGUGGCGGACGGGUGAGGAAUACAUCGGAAUCUACUUUUUCGUGGGGGAUAACGUAGGGAAACUUACGCUAAUACCGCAUACGACCUACGGGUGAAAGCAGGGGAUCUUCGGACCUUGCGCGAUUGAAUGAGCCGAUGUCGGAUUAGCUAGUUGGCGGGGUAAAGGCCCACCAAGGCGACGAUCCGUAGCUGGUCUGAGAGGAUGAUCAGCCACACUGGAACUGAGACACGGUCCAGACUCCUACGGGAGGCAGCAGUGGGGAAUAUUGGACAAUGGGCGCAAGCCUGAUCCAGCCAUACCGCGUGGGUGAAGAAGGCCUUCGGGUUGUAAAGCCCUUUUGUUGGGAAAGAAAAGCAGCAGGUUAAUACCCCGCCGUUCUGACGGUACCCAAAGAAUAAGCACCGGCUAACUUCGUG